rnacentral:lncRNA from 1 species
CAGAGUGCCCCGGCGUCUUUCUAGCCUCCGCCUCCAGGCGGGUGAGGAGGUGACACCUGAGAAUUCCUCCCUCUCACCCCUGACCCUGCCGGAAAGCGAAACUGAGAUGCGGGCAUUGGGCCCUGGGAAGCGUGGGGAAGGGGAAAGGAGAAAGCCAGAUGAAUAUCUUGUUCUGUUUGUUUUGUCUCCUGAGAGCCAAUAAAGCUGUGAGUUUUUUCAUUACACCAAAUGCAGCUCUACGGGCGAUCAAUCAAUGGGUAGUCUUCGGAUAAUCUGUGAGAGUGAGAAAUCUAAUAAAGCUAGCGACUAAAAAAGGAAAACAAAAUCUAUUUUUCUCUUAGGUUAACUACGUCAGGAUUAAUGUGUUCCACUUCUGCUGCCUGAGGUGGGUUUAACUCUUGUUCUUUCCCCCCCACCCACCCCAACAAAUUGAUUUAAAUGUCAAGAUGGGAGGGGAAGAGGGCUGAGGAAAGAAAGAGAAAAGAAAAGGGAUGUUUAGGAGCUUCUUAAAUUUUCUGAUGGUUGGCCGAUUCUUUCAAGAAGAGGAAAGACAAUACUUUCUAACGUCCCAGAAAAUCAGAGAAAUGGAGGAUUCUAACAAAAUGUAGUUUGGCAAAGAGGCCCUUCCUCAGUUUUCCGAACAGACAGGAAAUGUAAAUUGAUAAUGACGUAAAUAAGUGAUGAUAAUAAAUCAAGUUAUUAUUAGUGCCCCCUGCCCCAUCACUUGUUUGCUUUUGCUAGAUGCUAAACUUAACUCCUCAAAUGCAUUUUUUGGAAGGCCCCUCAACCAUCCUGAGCAAUGCAGGAAAUAAGAGAAAGAUCAUCUGCCUGGGCUGCUGCAGUUCUCCUCACAGCACAAUGCAACCAAAAUCAUUUAUAAACAGACAAAAAUAACAAUCUGAAUUAUCUAACAUUAGCAGUUGAACUGAAGAGCCCAAGAUUAUGUGAUGAAUUGUUAAAUUGCAGUAGCAUUGUUUUGGAUUGCUAAUUAAAAAAAAUAAGCAAACCCCAUGACUCUAGAUAUGACAACUGAAAAUACCCACAAAUUAUUUAAUAAAUGAAGUGUCUAACAACUUUAACACUUCCUGGUCGCCCUGUUAAUAAAUGUAAUUUGAGGUAGAUUUUUAAAAUCUUCAAUCUAAACAGUGAAUUCAUUACGCGCCAUUCAGAUCUCUAGAUGCCUAUGGACUUCUUGGAAUUAGGUGUUAAAUAGACAAAAGUGAACCAAACUGCCUUUAAAAGCACAGCAUGACCAUGUAAUUCUUUUUCCAGUUUGUGGUAAAAAAUGAUGAAACUUCUUUCCAAGUAGCUAUCACCCAGAUUUAGUGUGAAAAGUAGUGUAAUUGUAAUUCACGCCAUCAGGGUCUAUCGCUGAUAGACGAUCAGCUGUUCUGUAGAGGGGAGAGGCUUUCUUUUCAAAUAGGAAAGCUGCCAAGUGCUCUGCGAUACCUCCAGCAAGCUUAUCGGAUUGAGUUCAGAGCCAAAACAGCAGCUGCACACAUAUGCAAAUUGGCAAUUAAUAGUAUAACAUUCUGUAAAAAAAAAAAAAUGUUUAAAAAAAUUUUUAAAGAAAGUAGAAAGAAGCUACCUGAACAUUAACCUUAACUGUAACUGGGACUUCUAAGAUGAAUGACUAAGGAUUAAUUACCCUCUGGAGAGGACUUGCUGUUUAAUACCUUCUCUUACAGAUCAAGUCUUUGUUGUCUUGCUGAGUUUUGUCUGUUUCAUGGAACACAACAAUACACUCUACAGGAAGAACUUUAACUAAAAAGCCCUUAUAUUUCGAUUCCAGAAAAUGGAGAAAUUAAGUCCUUUCCAUGGAUCAUUCCUUCUGUAAACAGAGAUCACAAAGCAAGAGCUUCAGCAUCCUCGUGAAAAAGACAUUUUGUUCUGGGUGUCAUCAUCUCCUUCCACUACAGCUUGCAAUUGGAACAAGCUUCACAUCCUGGGGGUGCUGCCUAUCUCUGUCUUGAUUUCUGUCUGUCUAUUCCUCCCAUUGACAGGAAUGUCGUUUGUAUCCUCCACGCAGCAGUUUGCAGAAAUCCAGCAAGGUUUAUGGUUUAUGUUGCCCAGCAUGUAUAAACACAACGCUCUCAAAUGCUUUUUAAAAAUCUAUGAAUUUGUUAGAUGUCUUCACAUCCUGGUCCUCCUACCCCAAUUCUCAAACACAAAGUACUCUGUUGCCCUAUUAUAGUCCUGCGAUAGUUCUGGCUAGGAUUAGGUUGACGGUCUAAGCCCCAAGAAAGGCCUGGCAUUUUCAUAGCAGGCUUUCCCCAGUGCUUUGAGUCUUCCUCUCUCACUCCCUUUUUCUUUUUCCCUCGGAGGAGGGGGUGUUGGGGGUGGGAGGUGAUUAGUAAAUGUUUCAGGUAAUCUGUGAAUUCUUAAUAGUCAUAUUUCCGUGGUGGAAGAUCUCCCUAUUUCUCUGAUGUGACAGGUUACAGAAACCUUGGUGUUGGGGGUUUUACAGAUAUUUACAAGUUCUAGGAGUUUGAACUUUGGGUCAAGAUGUUGAUUCCUUUUAAUGUGCGAGGGUGAAGGAGGUUUUAUUUUGCUUUAUUCUUUUGGAUAUUAUGAGAUGAGAUUGUAUCCAGUCUUGGCUGUAACCUAUACCAUAAAUGCAGAGCUGCAACCAUUAUUUCUGUCUCUUUCUCCUUUUAUCACCUACACUUCUAGAGAUAUUACUUUCAGUUUUAUUGCAAAUCAUCUGUGUCUUUAGUUUAAACCAUUAUUUUUCAUAUACCCCAGGCACAUUUCCCUUAUAAUGAGACAAAUUUUAGAUUAUUAAUGUUCCACCUAAAAGGAUACUGUACACUUUUCAUUGCCAAUAUGGGCUUUGAAGCUUAAAUAUCAACAUUUUUAUAGGAAAUUUACCCAUGUCAAAUUUAAAUAUAUUUGCUUAUAUUUCUUGGAAAAAAGAUUUUGGAUAACUAUCAAUUAAGCAGCCAAUUCCAUUUGGGGUGCAGAAAAUUUUGAGCCCCUUGAUAAGAAGGAACAAAAUUUUUCCUCUAAAUAACCAACUCUGGAUCAGAAAAACUGAACUUUUCUAAAUAUUUAUUAUUAACAAAACUUUUUUUUGUCUGAUUCCACUAGAAGCAUUCUAUGUUGUGAACACUAUAAAGUUAUCCUAUGUUGUGAACACCAUAAAGUUAUGAGGGAAAAAAUGUCAAAUCUAAAUUUUAUUUAGAAGUAACAUAUUGUUUUUCUGGACUUGCAAUCCAAUUCGAAUGCAUCGUUAGACUUUUCUGUUUUCUUAUGAUUAAACAACAAUGGCUUAAAAUGAUAGCAAGUCAACUGAAAAGUUGCUUUGGAAUAAAACAAAAGUGGGAAUGCCAACUUUCUUUUCUUCUCUAUAACUUCAUUAACAUGGUUGUAUAGACAUUUGCAUGUAAAAUGUAGCUAACAAAAAUUACACAGAAGUAAAUUUAGUCCUCUAGUGCCUACCUCUAUGGUGAAAUCAGACCAUUUGGCAUAGUUUGAAGUCUUCCAAGAAGCCUGGUUUCCACCUGGAAAAUAAAUUACUAAAUUUGAAUGUGUUACUUAUACUAUGGUGAGUUGUCUAUCUGUUACAUUUUAUUUUAGUGCAUAUACUAGAAAUUGUAUUUAGGGUGUUCUAAAAUUGUCAUCUGUCAAGGUAGAGAAUUAUAAUAAUAUAAUUAUACUCAGAAAGCGUUCUGAUUUUAGAUUAUUUUGGCACUGUUACAAAUAUGAUGAAUUUUAAAAAAAUGCAGAAUGUUUAUUACAAAUUCAUAUGUUUAAUUGUCAAAUUCUGAGAUUAAUUUAGAUAAGCUAUAACCAAAGUUUAUUUUCUUUGCAUUUAUUGGUACAUAGUUAAUGCUUAUACACAGGCUUCAGUGUAACACCUAUACACUAUUACAAUAUUUAGCUGUACUUAUUUGCUUUAUCUUUAAAUGGUACUUUGUCCCAAAAUUUUCUGAGUUUGAUAAAUUAUUAAACAUUUAUCAAAUCACUGUUGCAUUCUCUAUUCAUCAAUACAUUCUGUUUUAAAUCAUAAACAGUUUGAUUCUGAGUUAUAAGAAAUAUUUUGAGUAAUCAAAGAUUCUAUGUUGUAUGACAUAAAGCAUAAUAAUGAGAUUAUUGAUGAGAUGUCAUGAUCAGUGAAGACCAUACUCAGUGAAUUUACCCAGAUAAAACUAUGUGUUAUAAUGCCGCAAGUGUACACAGAAGUAGGAGAUAAAGAUGUGCUAUCAUGGCUCAGUAAAAACUCCUCACCACAGCUAGUGACAAGAACAAACAAUGUUUUGUUAAAAUCUGUAGGUUUUUCUUCAUCUCAAAGGAUAGUGCAUUAAUCUCCUAAAGAAAGUAAUUGUUCUCUCUGAAAUGUACAGUAAGUUGAGUUAAACAACUAGAGCAAGUAUGGUUAUGGAAUUUUAUUUUCUCAAGCUCAGAAACUUUUAAAUUUACUACAAUAUACCCAAAUAUGUCUAAUUACUAUACUACCCUUGCAGUGAUUACAAUUUUGAUGUUUGUCAUUUUUUACAUGCUAAAGUGCUUUGUGAAUCCAGGUGAUUAUAUAAUGGAUACCAUCUUCUGUGGGAGUGAAAAGAAGAAAAACUUGAUUCAUACUUAAAGGUGCUAUAUUUGAGGAAUGUGAUGUUAAAAUAUUUUCUCUUAGCACAAGGCAUUUGUUUUAAAGAAUUUAUCUGGAGGACUCAGGACAUUUUCUAUAUAGUAAACUGAAUGAUGAACAUUAUUUAAGGUGAUAAAUGGGAAUAAAUUUUAGAAAGUCAUAUCUCUAGAAAAAUUUACUUGACCAUUGGAUUAAUAGUCUAAGAAGUGAUGGUGAUAGAAUAACAGUAGCGUCUUGGUGAAGCCCUUUCUCUUUGCUAGACACUUCACGUACAUUCCCUCAUUCAGUCGUUAAUAAUCACCUAAUGAACCCAACGUGAUUUUGUUUUACUGAUGAGAAAAAUGAGGCUAAGUUUAAGUCACAUAGCUUGUAAUGGAUGAGGCUUUAUAGCUGUGGGACUCUAGAGUCCAUCUGAUCAUGUGAUGUAGUUCCAUUCUGGUUUCUGAAGGACAGAGACAUGGAGGAGGUUUGAAAACUGUCUCUUUCCCCUCUUAAAAUUCAGUUUUUCCUUUACUAAAUCCAAAAGAGUAAGUGAAGUGGUCCAAGAAUUUAGCAAUGUAGUCAAGGUCCAUUUGAUUAGGAAGUCUUUAUAUGACUAGAAACAGGAUUGCUUUGGCACAUACAUAAAGACUCUACACAUCCAUCCUCAAAUUUAGCAAUUUGAAGCAGUUAGCUACACGGACAGUUUUGUAUGCAUUGCUAAAUGCAGACACAAAAACUGCAUUUGCAAAAAGAGGAAACCCAGUUAAACUAGGUUGCAAAUUUGGCCCUAAUUUAGCGUAGCAUUUGUGAUACAUAUAGGUUAGAGUGACAUUUAUAUAAUGGUGUGAAAUAUGAGAAAGUUCCAAUGCUAGACACAAAGACUUUUAAAAAUUGCUUUUGCCUACUUUGGUUAGUUUAAGAAACAGGAGGAAGAAUUUGGUUUUUCAAGUGAUGGGAAGCCUUUAAGGAUGUUGGAACACUGUUCAGUCCCCUGGGGUUCUGCCUGCUGUACAAUUUUAAAUGUCUUUUAGCUAAAAAAUUGGCCAACAAGGGAAACACAGAGAUGAAAUAUCUUCUUUCUUAUCUGGAAAGUGAGAAACUAUAGGUGGCUAACAUAAUCCAAUUUUGAUAGUCGAAUAAAUGGUCAGCUUUUGGGGUUAGAAAGUCAUAAUCCUCCUUGUUAAUAUGUCUAUCUAACUGGAGUAACUACCUACCUAUUAGAAUUUAUCUUGGAAAUUUUGUCCUUAUGCUCAGUUGUAGACGUGUUUCAGCUUAAGAAAUACAGCCAAAAAUGAGACUAGAUAAAUAUACCAUGUUUCAUGUAAAUGCUGCUAUCAUGGUACCUGAAACUAUUUCCAUUUCUUCAUUGAAGACCACUGGAGGGCAGUGUUUUCUCCUUUGGGAACAGCACCUGGUUUCACAUGGAGACUGCAUAGAUGUGUUAAAAAGGCAUCUAGGUUACAGGAAAUGAGUUGUACUUCUCAUUCAGGCUGUGCUUGGAAUUUACCCCCUCCUGUUUACGUGUCAUUCAGAUUGUUCCUUAUCAUACUGCCUGUCAAAUUAGUUGUACCUGAAAUCAGAUUCCAAAAGAUCAUGUACAAUACAUAUUUACUGUUUUAAAGCUUUAUAUUCAUUAACUAUUUGAGGCAUUAUGUUAAGUUCAUUUUGCUAAUAUAAAUAGCAAAUAAAAAAGGAUAUAUAAGCAAGAGUAGGCAGUUUUAACCAGAUGCUUUGCACUUAAAAUUUCAAUAUUUCAUUGAUUUUAUUUUCAGUAUAAUUUUAUUACAUAUAAUAUGUAUACAUAUAUUUGUCACCAAAUUAGCAAAUUCACAUUUUCUGGAAAGAACAAAUGAAGACUUUUCCUAGAAGCUUAUUUGUCAUAUCUUAUGAUAUGCCUUGUUCCCUAAGGAUGGUAUGUGGAAAAAUGUUUAAUUUCUUCUAUUUUAAAAAAUGAUCUAUUGCUGAGUAUUAAAUUAUAAAAUUAUACUAAUUUGUGUUUCCAUUAGUUAAAAAAUGAAACUGGAUUACAUAUUAAUUUGGUGUGUCAGGGGUCCAUUUAAUCUUUAUUUAAAGGCAUAUAAUGCAAACUGAAUUCUUUUAAUUAUAAUAGUCGUUUCAUUGUUAAAAAUGAAAAUAUCAUAUAUUUUAGCUCUGUGACUUUGUCCAGCAAAAUACUGCUACUUUUGCAAAAUCAAUAUAUAAUUUUAGUCUAAUGAUUUACUUGAUUUAUUUUUUUCAAUAAAGUGCCCAGAAGCUUACCUGGAACUUGGCCAAAAUAAGGCAGAGCAACUAAUCACUUGAGGAAAAACAUAAAUAACAAUAUCUGUAUCAUAAAUGCUUUUUAAAAGUAUUUCAUUUUUAUAACAUUAUUUCCGAUUACAAAAGUAAUACAUGUUCAUUGUGUACAGCCGCGUGCCACCACGCCCGGCUAAUUUUUUGUAUUUUUAGUAGAGACGGGGUUUCACUAUGUUAGGAAGGAUGGUCUCAAUCUCCUGACCUCGUGAUGCGCCCGCCUCGGCCUCCAAAAGGGCUGGGAUUACAGGCGUGAGCCACUGUGCCUGGCCUCUUAUACAUAUUUUUAUGCACUAGUAAGUAUUAAAAAUAAUUAGGAUAUAUGACAUUACUCAUUGAUGAGUGACACUUCCCUUAAAAUAUAUCACAUUUUCCCAUGUCAUUAAAUACUAACUAUAGUAUUCCAUAGUAUAAAUGCACCAUAGUUUGUCUAACAAGUUCUCUAACACUAUGUAUUUGGUAAUUGCUAAUUUUUCCUUUUUUUGAGAUAGAGUCUCACUCUGUCACCCAGGCUGGAGUGCAGUGGUACAAUCUCGUCUCACUGCAGCUUCCACCUCCUGGGUUCAAGCGAUUCUCCUGCCUCAACCUCCUGAGUAGCUGGGACUAUAGGCAUGUGCCACCAUGCCCGGCUAAUUUUUGUAUAUUUUAGUAGAGAUGGGGUUUCACUAUGUUGGCCAGGGUGGUCUCGAACUCUUGACCUCAAAUGAUCCACCCACCUAGGCCUCCCAAAGUGCUGGGAUUACAGGCGUGAGCCACCAUGCCCGGCCAAUAAUUGCUAAUUUUUCUAUAUCAUAAACAAUGUUAUGUGAACAUCUCUGUGGACAAAUAUUUGCAUACAUUUAUAAUUACUUCCUCCAGAUAAAUUUCUAAAAGGGGAAUUUUAGGGUCAAAAAGGAUUUUUUUAUGAGUUUUGAUACGUAGACUAAAGUGCCUUCCAAAAUGGAAGUACAUGAGAAUGUCUGUUUAUCCUAAUCUUCACCAACACUAAAUGUUAACAGGUUUUUAAUGGUCUCGAAUUUGAUGUUUGAAAAAAUAAUUGUUUUUACUUUUAGUUAUUUUGCUUACUUGAAAAAUUUUAAAUUUCAUAUAUUGUUUGCCAUUUAUAAUAUUGCUUUAUAGUGUACUUAUUCCUAUACAACACCCAUCUCCCAAAGUGCUGGGAUUACAAGCGUGAGCCACCUUGCCUGGCCCUACCACAAUUUUUUUAAAGCUAUUUACAAUGAUUUACCCCUGGGGAGUUGGAUUGAGGAGUUAGGAUGUAGGCCAAGGACAAUAUUUUUCAUUUAACACCUUCUGCAUGGCCUGAAUUUUUCAGGAGAAGCCCAUAUUAUUUUCAUAAUAAAAAAAUUUUAGGACUCUCUCUAGACCUAUUCUGAUUCAGAGGCUGCCCAAUUAAAAGAAAUUUAAUGUCAUAGCUAAUUUUAAAAAUUUAUUGGAAAUCCUACGCUGAAUUACAUUAAAUUUAUAAAUGAUGGGACAGCU